CGCGGAGUAGAGCAGCCUGGAAGCUCGUCGGGUUCAUACCCUGGAGGUCACUGGUUCAAAUCCAGUCUCCGCUA
rnacentral:tRNA from 1 species